AUUGAACGCUGACGGCAUGCCUUACACAUGCAAGUCGAACGGCAGCACGGGUGCUUGCACCUGGUGGCGAGUGGCGAACGGGUGAGUAAUACAUCGGAACAUGUCCUGUAGUGGGGGAUAGCCCGGCGAAAGCCGGAUUAAUACCGCAUACGAUCCACGGAUGAAAGCGGGGGACCUUCGGGCCUCGCGCUAUAGGGUUGGCCGAUGGCUGAUUAGCUAGUUGGUGGGGUAAAGGCCUACCAAGGCGACGAUCAGUAGCUGGUCUGAGAGGACGACCAGCCACACUGGGACUGAGACACGGCCCAGACUCCUACGGGAGGCAGCAGUGGGGAAUUUUGGACAAUGGGCGAAAGCCUGAUCCAGCAAUGCCGCGUGUGUGAAGAAGGCCUUCGGGUUGUAAAGCACUUUUGUCCGGAAAGAAAUCCUUGGCUCUAAUACAGUCGGGGGAUGACGGUACCGGAAGAAUAAGCACCGGCUAACUACGUG
rnacentral:rRNA from 1 species